UUUUUUUUGUUUCUUAUUUGGUACGAAAUAUACAACUAUACAAAACUUGUUAGUUUACACAUUUUGUAUUGCACAGUAGAUCGUACGUAGUGAGAACUCGUGGAAAACAAUAAAUUGUGCGUGUGUGUCUGGCAACUGUGUCUUUUUUAUUUACACCACACUGCGGUAUUUUCGCCGUAAGUUACGAUUUUAUCGCCACGGUUUUUAUGCAACCGUAUAGUUAUAUGAAUUUAUUUAUAAAUGGUGAAAUAUUUUAUGAAAAUAAUUAUAACGACCAUCUAUUUAGUAUAUUUUAUUUACACACACAAAUGCGGUAGUAUGCAGUAUGUUUCGAUGCAUUAUUUUUAUAUCAAAACCAGCGGUAUCGAUGCAGUAUUGAAGUAGAAGGUACAACUGUUAUAUUUUUACUGUUUGUAGAUUGUUAAUUCGUAUUAAAUGAUAAAUAAGAUAAAAAUAAUUUUCAGUUCAGCGCCCCUUUUGUACUGGUGUCCUGGGCAAUCGCCCAGGUCGCCUAUAACUUUCGCCGGCCCUGCAUGUGCUAAUAGCUUGUAUAUUCGGGACGUAUAAAUGAUAAACGAUAACAUUAACAUACACUAAAAUAUUAAAUACAGCAAAAUAUAAUUGAAUUAUUUAAUAAAGAGGAUUAGUGCGUGAACCUUGACGGGAUGGAUGAGCUUGAAUGUGACUACGUAUAUCAUCAAUAUCUGGAUGACUGCUGAGAAUUCACACAUGUAAGCCGAUGGAAACGGACUCUCAAUCCCCUUUUCACUUAAUAUUUCAUAUUCGCACUGCACUGUACAGAAUCGCGUCACUCGAACAAAACACACGGUCUCGCAAGGCACGGUCGAGGUCAUAAUGAAACGAAACUAAUUUUAUCUGUUAUAAUUACGUGGGAAACUGCCACGCACUAAUUUUUCGUUGUCGACGGUCGUUUUUCGACCUUUCUUAUAUUGUACUCUAUAUGACUACAUACUUUUAUUUAUUGUCUAUUUUAUACUUUGAUUGACUAUUAUAAAAUAUUAAAAUACAAUAUUUUAUAAAUGUGCACGCCUUAUACAACUUUUCCCA